CACCUCCUGCCCUUGUGCUGUCUCUCCCGCGGCAGCCGCGUUAGCCCCGAGAGCAGGGAUGCGCCUUGAGAGGCGGCCGGCGUGGCCCCGCACGUCCGCGCUAGCUCGCGCGGCUCCUGGGCCACGCUCUCUGGAGGCGGCGCGGCCGCCAUCUUGGGAGGUCUUCCUGACCGAGUUCCUCACGCCAGGAAAUGGCCAUCGAGACGCUGGAGAGCGAGUCCAAUGGUUUUCUUUGCCUUCUCCCGGCUCCAGGGGUAUAGCCAGACUAGAGGAGGUCGUGUGAGCGUGUUUAAUACCUCAGAGACAGGACUAAUCUGGCGCUCUUCCGCCCCCUUCUAUCCCCACAGUGGGGAGGGCUGGCAGCCAUGUUUCCUAACAAAAUGGCGACACGUGUCGCCGACGAGAAAUUGGGGUGGGUCCGAAAGCUCUAGAACGCGUGUCUGAUGAUUCUCAAUCCUUCCCCAGGUCCCUUCAGCAGGAAAUGGGCAGGCCACUUCGGAGUUUGUUGGCAGAAAUAUACGCCCUCCACCUCCCUUGUCGGGCACGUGAAUAACUAAAACGCAGGCCUAACAUUGAUUUUUUUUUUAAUUGAAUAGCGACUGGCAGAGUAAGACAAACUCAGAGAGAUGAGUGACUGAUUCAAGGUCACUCGAUAUGGCGGAUGGACUCCAUACCCUUCAGAUCUCCUUACUGAUGCACCCUGUUUGUGAAGUGCCUGCUGAGGCCAGAAGAGGAUGUUGAUUUCCCCAGAUCUGUGUCCAACUCUGGAACCCACUAGCUGUGAGACUUGUAUAACCCAGCUGUCUGGGCUUAAGUGCUCUCAUCUAUAAAACAAAAGGCCAACUAACCUCCAAGCUCUUUUCUGAUUUUCCUGACUCACAUUCCAUGUUCUGAGACACCACCUAUGAAGCUACUGAGACAAUAGAAAAAUGAACUGGAAAGUUCCCUAUUUCUCACCCAUGAUUCUUCUCGAAUUCAAGUGAUCACAGGUGACAGUUGGAGACAUGGUCUGGUAACACCAUGCUUCAGAAUGUGACUUGGAGCUAGCCUGCUAGACCUUCCUGUGUCCUUCAAUUCUUCUUGGACUGGAGAAUAGAGGAACAGAAUUCAAUUCCCAGCAUCCAUAACCAGUGGCUCCAAGGAAUUCAACGCCUUUUUCUUAGCCUUCUCAAGUACCCACACAUAUCUGGCUUACAAACAAACACACACACACACAUAAAAGUAAAAGAAGUAUUAAAAACAA